rnacentral:rRNA from 1 species
UACAGAGGUCCCAAGCGUUGUUCGGAUUCACUGGGCGUAAAGGGUGCGUAGGCGGGUCUUUAAGUCAGGGGUGAAAUCCUGGAGCUCAACUCCAGAACUGCCUUUGAUACUGAAGAUCUUGAGUUCGGGAGAGGUGAGUGGAACUGCGAGUGUAGAGGUGAAAUUCGUAGAUAUUCGCAAGAACACCAGUGGCGAAGGCGGCUCACUGGCCCGAUACUGACGCUGAGGUGCGAAAGCGUGGGGAGCAAACAGG